AUUGAACGCUGGCGGCGUGCUUAACACAUGCAAGUCGAUCGGUAACGCGGGGGCAACCCUGGCGACGAGAGGCGGACGGGUGAGGAACGCUUGGGAAUCUGCCUAUCAGCGGGGGACAACACGGGGAAACUCGUGCUAAUACCGCAUACGCUCUACGGAGGAAAGCCGGGGACCGCAAGGCCUGGCACUGAUAGAUGAGCCCAAGUCGGCAUAGCUAGUUGGCGGGGUAACGGCCCACCAAGGCGACGAUCCGUAGCUGGUCUGAGAGGACGAUCAGCCACACUGGGACUGAGACACGGCCCAGACUCCUACGGGAGGCAGCAGUGGGGAAUAUUGGACAAUGGGGGAAACCCUGAUCCAGCGACGCCGCGUGGGUGAAGAAGGCCUGCGGGUUGUAAAGCCCUUUCGGUAGGGACGAAAGCUCUCGACCUAACACGUCGGGAGGUUGACUUAACCUACAAAAGAAGCACCGGCUAACUCUGUGCCAGCCGCCGCAGUAACAC
rnacentral:rRNA from 1 species